AAAUACACCAUUCACAAUAAUAUUGUUUUGUUUCCACCUACUUAUUUGGUCUCCACAUAUUGCUGUCGAAUAUGUCCUGUUCGAUUUCAUGUAUUCACUAUGCAAAUGCAGAGGUAAAUUUUGCUUGGCUACAAGGAGAGAUGAUUACUAAAGACCUGUUAAUAUUACUGAUUGGAACUUACUGAUUGUGAUUUCUGUAAUGGUGUGGCCAGUCCUCGUCAUUUUUGCUUGUGAUUCUAUAACUUCUGAAUCCCAAAAGCUGGUUGUACGAUGUUUUGAACUACAAGGGACUUUUCCGAUAUUUUCUGAGGAGAAGCAAGCAUUGCUUAACAUGGCAAGUCAUAUUCAAGCUACAAAGCCGACAAUCACCGCCUGUGGAUUUUUUGAUCUUAAUCGCAGAAUAAUUUUUGGGUUAUUUGGUACCAUUACUACCUACUAUUUUAUUGUAUUGCAGUUCAAUUCUGUUAUGUAAUAGAAAAUAUUGUUCUCAAGUUUCCUAUUUUUUUGUAAUAAUUGGAUGUAAAUGCAUAUUAUAAAUAUAAUUAAAUGUAUUCUAA